CGGGAGGCAGCAGUAGGGAAUUUUCGGCAAUGGAGGAAACUCUGACCGAGCAACGCCGCGUGAACGAUGAAGUAUUUCGGUACGUAAAGUUCUUUUAUUAGGGAAGAAUAAAUGAUGGAAAAAUCAUUCUGACGGUACCUAAUGAAUAAGCCCCGGCUAACUAUGUGCCAGCAGCCGCGGUAAUACAUAGGGGGCAAGCGUUAUCCGGAAUUAUUGGGCGUAAAGGGUGCGUAGGCGGUUAAAUAAGUUUAUGGUCUAAGUGCAAUGCUUAACAUUGUGAUGCUAUAAAAACUGUUUAACUAGAGUAAGAUAGAGGCAAGUGGAAUUCCAUGUGUAGUGGUAAAAUGCGUAAAUAUAUGGAGGAACACCAGUAGCGAAGGCGGCUUGCUGGGUCUUUACUGACGCUGAGGCACGAAAGCGUGGGGAGCAAACAGGAUUAGAUACCCUGGUAGUCCACGCCGUAAACGAUGAGUACUAAAUGUUGGGUAAAACCAGUGUUGAAGUUAACACAUUAAGUACUCCGCCUGAGUAGUACGUACGCAAGUAUGAAACUUAAAGGAAUUGACGGGACUCCGCACAAGCGGUGGAUCAUGUUGUUUAAUUCGAAGGUACCCGAAAAACCUCACCAGGUCUUGACAUGCUUCUGCAAAGCUGUAGAAACACAGUGGAGGUUAUCAGUUGCACAGGUGGUGCAUGGUUGUCGUCAGCUCGUGUCGUGAGAUGUUGGGUUAAGUCCCGCAACGAGCGCAACCCUUAUUGUUAGUUGCCAGCACGUAAUGGUGGGGACUUUAGCAAGACUGCCAGUGAUAAAUUGGAGGAAGGUGGGGACGACGUCAAAUCAUCAUGCCCCUUAUGACCUGGGCUACAAACGUGAUACAAUGGCUGUUACAAAGGG
rnacentral:rRNA from 1 species